rnacentral:lncRNA from 1 species
AAUAAGGCAUACUAUGACGUAGAUACAUUCCCCCUUAUUUGAUGCAUAUCGCCUAAACUCUUCCCCCUUUUGGCAUUAGCAGAAAGAGAGUAUACAAAGGCUAUUAUCCCCUUUCGACACUUCCCCUUUUGGGUAUAUCAAUUGUUAGUGUCAAAUAUAAGAUAGGAAAUACAAUGAGGAAUAUACAUUGACGAUAUGAAAUAAUACCAAAUGUAAAAAUAUAACAACCAUAUCAAAGGUUAUUUUUAGCAAAUAUACCAACUGUUAUUCAAACU